CGGAGACACGCAGGAGCCGCCGUUGAGACAGCGUCCGUCGCAGAGCGCUGAGGGUCAAAGAGAGAGGACACACACAGAUGACAUCACAGCUUAGAAAAAUGUGUACUCAAAACGUUCUGCAAACUUUCCUGUGGUAAAAAAGCGCAAGCUGAAGAUGGCAGAAAUUGCAGACGUGACUCUUUCCUUCUGCCCUCUAACUGACCUUGAGUGGACACUGAGAUCUGUAUCCAUGGGGGAUUCUGGGAUACAUUCAUCUCUGAGACCGGCUGAGAUUUCAUAAAACCCUCCAGCAAACCCACUCCCGGCAGAAAUAAACACAAAUGAGGGAAUAACUACAGACCGCGUGCAUGUGACUCAGGAAGAAAACAGUGGCAGUGGCUGGUUUCCCAACACAAGUCCAGACAUUUGGAAAGCACAAGCAUGUGUCUCUGCUCUCUGACUAAACAAACCAUUUUCAAGCAACAGCGUCGAGGGGUCUCGUAUCUCUGCACACACAGAGACUGUGAUUACAGUAAGUCGACGUGAGGCUGACAAACGCUUGACUGUGACCAGAGAAAUCAUUCCAGCAGGGAGUCAACUUAAUCACACCACCUGAUGGAUUCUGGGAAUGUCGGGCUCUUGUAGCUCACAGACAUUUUAAUAUCGAUCCGUGCAAUUGAAUGUAAUCCAUCUGUACUCUCAUAUUCAUCUCUGGGGGGCAUGCGAGGAAUUAAACGCUGAAAGUGUUCAUCAGUUUUGGUGAGAAUACAGAGAGGUGCUUUGGGACGCUCUCUACCGCAGUCGAUCAAUAAUUCCACAGAGGAGAGAAAUACAAUGCGUGCGGCUCUAUAAACGCUGUUUUUAUUUUCAGAGACUGUUUAAAACCUUGAAGGACAUG